GAUUUCUGGUCUGGUGCACCUGGCCCGCCGCAUCAGCGUGUGAGUGCCGGGUUGCGCCUGCCAUCCUUCUAGAAAACAUAUCUACCCUUCACUGGGCCGGAUAUGCGAUCUAGAUCUUUUACUUUGAAAAAAUUAGAGUGUUUAAAGCAGGCUUACGCUGUGAAUACAUUAGCAUGGAAUAAUAAUUUAGGACUUUGGUCUCUAUUUUGUUGGUUUCUAGAGCUGAAGUAAUGAUUGAUAGGGAUAGUUGGGGGUGCUAGUAUUCAUCGGCCAGAGGUGAAAUUCUUGGAUUCGAUGAAGACUAACUUAUGCGAAAGCAUU
rnacentral:rRNA from 1 species